GACGAACGCUGGCGGCGUGCUUAACACAUGCAAGUCGAACGGAAAGGCCCUGCUUUUGUGGGGUGCUCGAGUGGCGAACGGGUGAGUAACACGUGAGUAACCUGCCCUUGACUUUGGGAUAACUUCAGGAAACUGGGGCUAAUACCGGAUAGGAGCUCCUGCUGCAUGGUGGGGGUUGGAAAGUUUCGGCGGUUGGGGAUGGACUCGCGGCUUAUCAGCUUGUUGGUGGGGUAGUGGCUUACCAAGGCUUUGACGGGUAGCCGGCCUGAGAGGUUGACCGGCCACAUUGGGACUGAGAUACGGCCCAGACUCCUACGGGAGGCAGCAGUGGGGAAUACUGCACAAUGGGCGGAAGCCUGAUGCAGCAACGCCGCGUGCGGGAUGACGGCCUUCGGGUUGUAAACCGCUUUCGCCUGUGACGAAGCGUGAGUGACGGUAAUGGGUAAAGAAGCACCGGCUAACUACGUG
rnacentral:rRNA from 1 species